rnacentral:rRNA from 1 species
UACGUAGGGGGCAAGCGUUGUUCGGAAUUACUGGGCGUAAAGGGCGCGUAGGCGGCCGCCUAAGUCAGACGUGAAAUCCCUCGGCUCAACCGGGGAACUGCGUCUGAUACUGGGUGGCUUGAAUUCGGGAGAGGGAUGCGGAAUUCCAGGUGUAGCGGUGAAAUUCGUAGAUAUUCGGAAGAACACCAGUGGCGAAGGCGACUUACUGGACAGAUAUUGACGCUGAGGUGCGAAAGCGUGGGGAGCAAACAGG